AACGAACGCUGGCGGCAGGCCUAACACAUGCAAGUCGAGCGAAGCCUUCGGGCUUAGCGGCGGACGGGUGAGUAACGCGUGGGAACGUGCCCUUUGGUACGGAAUAGCCCCGGGAAACUGGGAGUAAUACCGUAUGUGCCCUUCGGGGGAAAGAUUUAUCGCCAAAGGAUCGGCCCGCGUUGGAUUAGGUAGUUGGUGGGGUAAUGGCCUACCAAGCCGACGAUCCAUAGUUGGUUUGAGAGGAUGAUCAGCCACACUGGGACUGAGACACGGCCCAGACUCCUACGGGAGGCAGCAGUGGGGAAUCUUAGACAAUGGGGGAAACCCUGAUCUAGCCAUGCCGCGUGAUCGAUGAAGGCCUUAGGGUUGUAAAGAUCUUUCAGUGGGGAAGAUAAUGACUGUACCCACAGAAGAAGCCCCGGCUAACUCCGUGCCAGCAGCCGCGGUAAAAC
rnacentral:rRNA from 1 species